CAUUUCGACGUUCUCGUGUAACCGUGUACGCCUAAGUCGCAAAUGUAAACAAACACUUUGGUGGGUCCGGUGGUGCUGGUGUGUCUAGGACGCAAAGCAAAGCCGACCGCGGCAGCAGCCAGGACUCGGACGCGGAAACCUUCGUGAGCCAAACAGCAGCAGCGGAACGCCUUCGAAGGAGGGUGGUGCAGGAGCGGGACAAGGCCAGCAUCCUGCAGGAACUGCAGCUGUUCCACGGCCGGAAUGCGAUGAGAGGUAGGAAUGUGGAUUCGCACCGGUUGUAUUCGGUGGUGGUGGCCCGGGAUUGGUGAUUGAAGGUCAAUUCCCGCGAGGACUGGGGCGAGAUCAUCGAGGAGAUGGCGUUGCCGAAGUGUUGCGUGAACAACGAGAUUGCGUUGAAGAAGAUUAACUUCCGGUUUUUUGGACAAGUACGAGAAAGUUUACUUUCACGGUGAGGAGAAGGAUCCGACGAAGAGGAGGACGACGAAAAGCUACAUAAUCGGAGGUGGUCAGCGCAGAUGUUGCACUCGGUGCCGGCGGUUUACAACACCGCAUCUUCCCGCCCACAAACACUCACCUCGCGACGGCGCAGCUUCAGCCGAAUGAACCUGGACAGUGAGCCAAAAAAAAAUCUGUGUCAUUCCCGAAGUAGGAUUACGUGCUCAAAAUUGAAUUCCGUUCCGAGGGCCUCAUCAACUCCAUGUUCCGGAUGCGCUUCAAGGAUCGGGAACUCCCCGUUGAGGCACUUUACUUUCCAGUCGGAAAACGUCGACCACCCUUCCCGAAUCAACGGCCAGCUCCUCCAAGACUAUCCUGAUUGAGGCCGGAAACGUGACCAUCGUGUUACACUGCUGUCGCGCGUCGAAACCUUCAUCCGGAACCGUCCUGGGGUAUUCGGAAGUGACCGGUGGCGUACCGUAUGAAUCGGUACAGCUUGGACUCGAAUAUUGGCCUACCUUGAGCUGAAGCUAGUGGAGAAGCGUUAAAUACAAUAAAAAAUGUGUUUUUAAAC